UCCAUUAGAAAUUUCCUUUAAUAUUAUUGGGGAAAAAAACAAAUAAACAAAAAUUAACGAAUAUCCAAAAGAACACCAAAUGGUUUCAUUCAACAUUAAACUUUUUUUUUACUUUUGCAUUUCCCAAAAAUUGCCAAAAAAGUCAUUUUUUGCUCAACUCAAAACAAUCUUAUGUUUUGCUUUUUUCCCCCAAUGGUCAGAAAACCAAACCAUCUGUUUUUUUUGCCAAGCUCUAGCUGUGGGAGCUGGGUCUGUGGUGAGACCAGCAGUUACUCAUGUAGACUGAGAGAGAUGGGUUUCCUUCCCACCGUACACUGAGUGUCCCAUUUCUAGGGACAGUUAAUUUCCCAUCUGCCCAUCCUGCAGCCUUGGCAUGUAACCAGUGAGGGGUCAGGAAAGCGACUGUCUGGGGCAGGCUAAACUAUCAUUUGAAAACUUCUUUGGAGCACUGGAGCAGGGGAUGUUCUUUGCCCCCCUCCCACCGCAGCCACUGGUCUGCUGUGUCAGCUCCCUCCUGCCCCCGGAGCAGAGAGAUCAGCCCAGGAGAGCCUCAUGACUUUGAGUCCUGGCCCUUUUAUCCUUUGUGCCAUUUUGUCUCAAUGUCUGAUGGGAACAUCCUGCCCCAGGGCUGUGCUGUGGUGGGGCUCUGGGAACAUGCUGAGGGCAUCUCCCAGCAUCACUGCCAAGAUGGUUACAGUGAAUCACAAAAAGAAAAGGGGUACUCGUGGCACCGUAGAGAUUAACAAAUUUAUGAAUCACAGACUCUUCUCUGGGCCUUUCUUGGUUUAAUCUGGGAACACCACGGAGAGCUGAUCGACUGAUUCAUGGGGGAGGUGGGUAUUUAUCCUUAAGAAGGAGGAGUCCCCUCUGUGGCUGAGGAGGCCAGGACCAUUGUGGAACUUCCCUGGAUCAGCAGCCAGAGACGGGCCCUUCACUCACCCCAGCAUCUUUCAGAUGACUCAGUGACGAAGCUGCAGUAUUACACCGGGGACAGCGAGGGGGAAAACGAUCCUGGAUCAGAACAAGAGGGAGGUUCCCCAGGGGGGUCCCAGUUGGAUUACGAUA